CUACGGGGGGCUGCAGUGAGGAAUAUUGGGCAAUGGACGCAAGUCUGACCCAGCCAUGCCGCGUGAAGGAUGACAGCCCUAUGGGUUGUAAACUUCUUUUAUAUGGGAAAAAACCCCCGAACGUGUUCGGGGCUGAUGGUACCAUAAGAAUAAGCACCGGCUAACUCCGUGCCAGCAGCCGCGGUAAUACGGGGGGUGCAAGCGUUAUCCGGAUUUAUUGGGUUUAAAGGGUGCGCAGGCGGAGCGAUCAGUCAGUGGUGAAAUCCUACGGCUCAACCGUAGAACUGCCAUUGAUACUGUCGUUCUUGAGUAUAGUUGAAGUGGGCGGAAUGUGUCAUGUAGCGGUGAAAUGCAUAGAUAUGACACAGAACACCAAUCGCGAAGGCAGCUCACUAAACUACUACUGACGCUCAGGCACGAAAGCGUGGGGAGCGAACAGGAUUAGAUACCCGCGUAGUC
rnacentral:rRNA from 1 species